AACUCGGCAAAAUGACCCCGUAACUUAGGGGUAAGGGGUACCACCUGCCGGUGGCCGUAGGGAAUAGGCCGAAGCGACUGUUUAACAAAGGCAAAGAUAUCUGCUACGUCGCGAGACGAUGUAUAGGGGCUGUAUCAUACCCGGUGCUGCAAGGUUAUGGGGAUCUGUUAGAGCAAUCGAAGCAGUGAACGUAAGCGCCAGAAAACGGCGGCCGUAAC
rnacentral:rRNA from 1 species